UACGUAGGGUGCGAGCGUUAAUCGGAAUUACUGGGCGUAAAGCGUGCGCAGGCGGUUUGCUAAGACCGAUGUGAAAUCCCCGGGCUCAACCUGGGAACUGCAUUGGUGACUGGCAGGCUAGAGUAUGGCAGAGGGGGGUAGAAUUCCACGUGUAGCAGUGAAAUGCGUAGAGAUGUGGAGGAAUACCGAUGGCGAAGGCAGCCCCCUGGGCCAAUACUGACGCUCAUGCGCGAAAGCGUGGGGAGCAAACAGG
rnacentral:rRNA from 1 species